UAUUUCAAGCCUUAGCCGGAUGUUAGUGGAAAUUGACUGUUCUACAGUAUUAAUGAGAUUUGAUGCUAAUUUCUGUCAGCCAGCUUAUUUGCACUCAUAUAGCUUUCUACUUUUGUUAUCCUGCUGCCUACUUUUGCUUUCCUACUUUUGUUUUUCAUCUUAUUCCGAUGCCAGCUCAUUUGUUUUCUGCCUUUAUUCAUGCUAUGAACUGUAAAUCAUUUCCAAACUUUAUAUUCAUAUCCAGACUUUAUAUUCAAACAUCUUCACUCCAAAUCUUGUUUCCAAUCAUCGGCCUGAAGAAGUGGAAGAAUCGGAGCUGUGAGAACUAGUGCUCAAAAAUGGCGUCUCUACCACCAGUGCUAAGCAUCCCAAGGUUUGGAAGUGUCGAAAAACCCGAGCCAGAUAUGAUCGAGCUCAUCCGUUACGCUGGUGAUUCUGGAGUCACUUUUCUUCAUACCUCCGACGUUUAUGGACCUCACAUGAAUGAAAUCCUCAUCGGCAAGAGUAGGAUAUUGAAGAGUACAUAAACAGAAUCCAAUGAGUUUGGGAGAAAGAAGUAGCUUGCUCGAAGCCUUUACAUCUACUUCUGAGAAGGUUGGAGAGAUGAAGAAGCUUGUUGAAGAGGGUAAAGUUAAAUACAUCGGUCUAUCAGAGGCCUCUGCUUCGAUAAUCUGAAGGGCUCACACUGUUCAUCCUAUAAUAGCUGUUCAAUUAGAAUGGUCAUUGUGGUCCAGAGAUUGGACGAAGAAAUUCAUCUGACAAGCAGAGAGCUUGGUAUUGGCAUUGUUCAUUACACCCCUCUUGGACAGUGAUUUUUCUCUGCAGGACCACAACUGUUUGACAACUUGGCAGAGGGUGACAUGCAUAAGAGUUUUCCAAGGCUGAAACCAGAAAACCUGGAGGAAAACAAGAAAAUAUUUGCACGGGUUACUGAAAUGCAGCAAAGAAAGGAUGCACCCCAGCACUGCUGGCCUUGGCUUGGGCUCAUCAUCAAGGAGAUGGCAUGGUUCCAGUUCUUGGUGCCACCAAGAAGGAGAACUUCAACCCAAAUGUCAGAGCUCUAUCAGUGAAAUUAACACGAGUAGAUGGCUAAACUUGAGUCCUAUGCUUCCGCUGAUGUGGUUAAGGGUAAUAGACAUGCCUUCGUGGCAACAACAUGGAAGAACUCUGAUUUUGUUAUUGGUUUUUUUUUGGACAAAAAAACUCCAUUUUUUCAAUGGGUUCUCUUCUUGUAGAAAAAGGAAUUUAAUUUUUUUUAACACUCUUGGAGACCGUUUUCCCUCUGAAUUCUGUCGGCCAUUAUUGUUCAUUGCAUUUCAGCCCCUCUUCUCUAGGCAAUUUUGUCAUUCCAGCCUCUUGCUUGUUCUUUUUCUUGAAGCUGGUACAACUGGUUGCUGCUUUUAUUUGGAUAAUGUGUCUUUUCUAUCCUUAUUACACAACGCUUUUUUGUUAUUGCUUUGCAAAACUCCAUAUUUGUGUUUUCACAGUAGCCUUCUACUUUUGCUAUUGGAAAUUGUUCUUCAUCUGACACCAUGUUUGCUUUUAUUUUUUGCAUUCACAUCUCUCCGCUCUAUCCUGCUACCACUUACACGAAUGGCAUCUAAAUCACAGGUGUCCAAACAUUUGAGACGUUACCAUGCCUACAUUUUUCCUACCAGCUACCACUGCCCUUUUGAGGCAAUUUCUAUCUAUUACCAGAUAUUUGCCAACCCUUCAUCUUCCUUCAUCUUCUCCAGAGGCCAUAACAAUAAAGGAGCAGGCCAUCUCCAAUCUCUCUGAUCUGCUUGGGCAAGAAAAUGAGGCGAAGGAACUUAAGAACCUUUUGACCCAACUUCGGCCCUUCUUUUCCUUGAUCCCCAAAGCAAAAGCUGCAAAAAUUAUCUGUGGAAUUGUUGAUACGGUGGCCAAAAUACCUGCCACAUCUGAUGUUCAGAUUACCCUAUGCAAGGAAAUUGUGCAAUAGACGCGUGAUGAGAAGUGAACUUUCCUUUGUUAGCGCACUGAGGCAAAACUUGCAGCUCUAUUGAUGGAGACCAAGGAAGAUUCCGAAACUUUAGCUCUGCUUUCUGGACCAAUCAAGGAGGCUUCAAAUAUUUUGCAAGAGUUGAUCAACAUUCAUAUUGAUGGAAAAGUUAUAUUAGCAAUCCAAGGUCAGGUCAAAGAUGAUAAGCCUACCUUUAUUGAGCGAACAGCAGUAAAAUCUAUUUGUGGAGUCUUUGAAAACUUGUUGACUACUCAAGUUGGCAUUCCAAAUGAACAGCUUCUGCAAGUCAUUUAUGUCUUGUUCCUAAAACUUUAGAGGUGCCGCAUGUUUAUUUGAAGAGUAUAGUACUCAAACUCGCUCAAACGAUGACUAAUGAUAGUGGUGUUUCUGACACAACUUAUGCGCUGUUCAGAGUUUGAAGACUACUGGACCUUUAAGCUUUGAAAGUCCUGUUCUCUAUUUUCUUGGAAGAGUUGCCUGCAAGAAGCAUUUGACAAGGUAUCUAGCUCUGUGAGAACAUUAGAACCUGCUUUUCAGGGGAGCUGGUCAGAGAAUGUGUCCUAAUUGAAAGACUGCAGUGGAUAAUUAUACUGAUCUUUCAGUGUCUGUUAUUCCAUUUAUUUCAUGAAAUAUGGAACGAGUCACGUGUUGCAUCACAUUACGAAAAUUGCUACUAUACUAACAUGAAAAACCUUUCCAAAUAAUCUUCAACCCA